GACGAACGCUGGCGGCGUGCCUAAUACAUGCAAGUUGAGCGCUGAAGGUUGGUACUUGUACCGACUGGAUGAGCAGCGAACGGGUGAGUAACGCGUGGGGAAUCUGCCUUUGAGCGGGGGACAACAUUUGGAAACGAAUGCUAAUACCGCAUAAAAACUUUAAACACAAGUUUUAAGUUUGAAAGAUGCAAUUGCAUCACUCAAAGAUGAUCCCGCGUUGUAUUAGCUAGUUGGUUAGGUAAAGGCUCACCAAGGCGAUGAUACAUAGCCGACCUGAGAGGGUGAUAGGCCACAAUGGGACUGAGACACGGCCCAAACUCCUACGGGAGGCAGCAGUAGGGAAUCUUCGGCAAUGGACGAAAGUCUGACCGAGCAACGCCGCGUGAGUGAAGAAGGUUUUCGGAUCGUAAAACUCUGUUGGUAGAGAAGAACGUUGGUGAGAGUGGAAAGCUCAUCAAGUGACGGUAACUACACAGAAAGGGACGGCUAACUACGUG
rnacentral:rRNA from 1 species